CCAUGGGUUCCAGGAAGAACGAUUUCGGCGAUGGCGCUAGUCCUGGAAAAAUCUUUAUUGGAGGUCUAGCGAAAGAGACAACGCGAGAACAAUUUGUGAAGUACUUUGAGAAGUAUGGGGAGAUAAUAGACUCGGUGAUUAUGAAAGAUAGGCAAACAGGUAGACCCAGAGGUUUUGGGUUCAUCACUUUUGCUGAUCCAACAGUUGUAGACACUGUUAUAGCUGAAAACCAUAUUAUCAAUGACAAACAAGUUGAGAUUAAAAGAACCAUCCCAAAAGGAUCUGCUGAUUCAAAGGAUUUUAAAACAAGGAAGAUUUUUGUUGGUGGCAUUCCAACUACCAUGAUUGAAGAUGAAUUCAAGAACUUUUUCUCCAAGUUUGGGAAAGUAACAGAGUAUGAGAUCAUACGAGAUCACGUGUCCAAGCGUUCUAGAGGCUUUGGAUUUAUUGUGUUUGACAAUGAAGAAGUAGUUGAUAAUUUGCUGGCUGAUGGAAAUAGGAUAGACAUGAUGGGCACUCAGGUUGAGAUCAAGAAGGCAGAACCAAAGAAACCCUCAAACCCUGCUUCUGCUCCUGCAUAUGGUAGUAAUUCUAGGGGGCGUGGAUAUGGUGAUAGUUAUGGAGGAUUUGCCGAUUCAUAUAACAGUUUUGACAGUGGAGCUUUUGGCCCUGCUUCCUAUAGGUCAUUUGGAUCUAGGUAUGGUGACUAUGGAUACGGUGGUAGAUAUGGAGACUUUGGCAGUAGUGAAUUUGGUGGUUACCGUGGAGACCCCUCACUUGGUUAUUCCAGUCGUUUUGGCUCGUAUGCUGGUGGUUAUGGUGGUGGAUACAGUAGCAGUGGGCUAGGAGCAUAUGGCCGUGGAGGUGGUUAUGGGGAGCUGGCCCUGGUGCUGGUUAUGAAUCUGGCCCUGGUGCUGGUUAUGAAUCUGGCCCUGGUGCUGCUUACGAAUCUGGCACUGGUGCUGGUUAUGGUGGAUCAGGAGGUUUAUAUGGAAGUAGGGGAGGGUAUAGUGGCAGUGGCCGUUACCAUCCUUACUCCAGGUAGAUUUUCCUAAGCUUUGUAGGAGUUGCAUUCAGGUAUCUUGGUUACUGCAUCCUCAGGCAAGGGUCGAGUAGAUAUCUUGGAUCACUAGCAAGGAGACACCACCUAGAAGAUUUGGAGAGCCCUAGUUUGCUACUUCUUAUUACGACUGUGCGACCAGAGAACCAUAUCUAGAUAGAUAUGAUAUAGCUUGUGCUUUGUCUUAGUUUAGAUAUUUUCUCUCUUUAUGAACUAUGGAUUAGCUAGAACCUUCUUUUGGAGUUCUUUUGUGUUUCUUGUAAGUUUGGUUUCAUAGAUACAUAUGAUGCAGGCUCGUAUUGUUCUAUACUUAGUAAGUACUCUACUUCUCAGGUAUCACUCUAUGAUAAGUUCACGAGCUUUUUACUUUUAAGAGAUCUAUUGUGUCUGCUGGUGUCUAGUUAUCACUUUGUGUGGUUUAGUUGGCUUAGCUUGGUCAUGCUCAAUCAUAGUUGUGGAUAUUUUAAGUUA